rnacentral:rRNA from 1 species
UACAGAGGUCUCAAGCGUUGUUCGGAUUCAUUGGGCGUAAAGGGUGUGUAGGUGGCGCGCUAAGUCGGGUGUGAAAUUUCGGAGCUUAACUCCGAAACUGCAUUCGAUACUGGCGUGCUUGAGGACUGGAGAGGAGACUGGAAUUCAUGGUGUAGCAGUGAAAUGCGUAGAUAUCGAGAGGAACACCUGCGGCGAAGGCGGGUUGCUGGGCUGACACUGACGCUGAGGCGCGAAAGCCAGGGGAGCGAACGGG